UCAAGCAUGGUAUUAUAAGGUAUCGUUGGUAAUGUGAUACAUAGAAGGUCAUAUGUGAUUUGAUAACAUAUUUACUGCAAUAAUUCAUACUGAUGAUUGCUUCAUAAAAAGAUAUAUUGUGUAUCCUAUAACCCACAGAGAAGAUAAAUUUCUAAAUAUGGAUCCACAAUAAUUUCUCCAAUUUGCAAAUCUAGAAAAAUUUUAUCUAACAUUUUUGAAAUAUUUUAAAUAGUUAAACUAAACAUUAAUGUGUUAGGUUGGGUCA
rnacentral:lncRNA from 1 species